GACGAACGCUGGCGGCGUGCUUAACACAUGCAAGUCGAACGGAAAGGCCCUGCUUUUGUGGGGUGCUCGAGUGGCGAACGGGUAAGUAACACGUGAGUAACCUGCCCUUGACUUUGGGAUAACUUCAGGAAACUGGGGCUAAUACCGGAUAGGAGCUCCUGCUGCAUGGUGGGGGUUGGAAAGUUUCGGCGGUUGGGGAUGGACUCGCGGCUUAUCAGCUUGUUGGUGGGGUAGUGGCUUACCAAGGCUUUGACGGGUAGCCGGCCUGAGAGGGUGACCGGCCACAUUGGGACUGAGAUACGGCCCAGACUCCUACGGGAGGCAGCAGUGGGGAAUAUUGCACAAUGGGCGGAAGCCUGAUGCAGCAACGCCGCGUGCGGGAUGACGGCCUUCGGGUUGUAAACCGCUUUCGCCUGUGACGAAGCGUGAGUGACGGUAAUGGGUAAAGGAGCACCGGCUAACUACGUG
rnacentral:rRNA from 1 species